UACAGGGGGGGCAAGCGUUGUUCGGAAUUACUGGGCGUAAAGGGCUUGUAGGUGGCCAAUUAAGUCAGACGUGAAAUCCCUCAGCUUAACUGGGGAACUGCGUCUGAUACUGGAUGGCUUGAGUUUGGGAGAGGGAUGCGGAAUUCCAGGUGUAGCGGUGAAAUGCGUAGAUAUUGGGAGGAACACCAGUGGCGAAGGCGGCUCACUGGACCGGAACUGACGCUGAGGCGCGAAAGCGUGGGGAGCAAACGGG
rnacentral:rRNA from 1 species